CAAGUCGAGGGGCAUCAGGAAGAAAGCUUGCUUUCUUUGCUGGCGACCGGCGCACGGGUGAGUAACACGUAUCCAACCUGCCCUUUACUCGGGGAUAGCCUUUCGAAAGAAAGAUUAAUACCCGAUGGCAUAAUGAUUCCGCAUGGUUUCAUUAUUAAAGGAUUCCGGUAAAGGAUGGGGAUGCGUUCCAUUAGGUUGUUGGUGAGGUAACGGCUCACCAAGCCUUCGAUGGAUAGGGGUUCUGAGAGGAAGGUCCCCCACAUUGGAACUGAGACACGGUCCAAACUCCUACGGGAGGCAGCAGUGAGGAAUAUUGGUCAAUGGGCGCUAGCCUGAACCAGCCAAGUAGCGUGAAGGAUGAAGGCUCUAUGGGUCGUAAACUUCUUUUAUAUAAGAAUAAAGUGCAGUAUGUAUACUGUUUUGUAUGUAUUAUAUGAAUAAGGAUCGGCUAACUCCGUGCCAGCAGCCGCGGUAAUACGGAGGAUCCGAGCGUUAUCCGGAUUUAUUGGGUUUAAAGGGAGCGUAGGUGGACUGGUAAGUCAGUUGUGAAAGUUUGCGGCUCAACCGUAAAAUUGCAGUUGAUACUGUCAGUCUUGAGUACAGUAGAGGUGGGCGGAAUUCGUGGUGUAGCGGUGAAAUGCUUAGAUAUCACGAAGAACUCCGAUUGCGAAGGCAGCUCACUGGACUGCAACUGACACUGAUGCUCGAAAGUGUGGGUAUCAAACAGGAUUAGAUACCCUGGUAGUCCACACAGUAAACGAUGAAUACUCGCUGUUUGCGAUAUACAGUAAGCGGCCAAGCGAAAGCAUUAAGUAUUCCACCUGGGGAGUACGCCGGCAACGGUGAAACUCAAAGGAAUUGACGGGGG
rnacentral:rRNA from 1 species